rnacentral:rRNA from 1 species
AUUGAACGCUGGCGGCAUGCCUUACACAUGCAAGUCGAACGGCAGCGGACCUUCGGGUGCCGGCGAGUGGCGAACGGGUGAGUAAUAUAUCGGAACGUACCUUUCAGUGGGGGAUAACGUAGCGAAAGUUACGCUAAUACCGCAUAUUCUGUGAGCAGGAAAGCAGGGGAUCGCAAGACCUUGCGCUGAUUGAGCGGCCGAUAUCAGAUUAGCUAGUUGGUGAGGUAAAGGCUCACCAAGGCGACGAUCUGUAGCGGGUCUGAGAGGAUGAUCCGCCACACUGGAACUGAGACACGGUCCAGACUCCUACGGGAGGCAGCAGUGGGGAAUCUUGGACAAUGGGCGCAAGCCUGAUCCAGCCAUGCCGCGUGAGUGAAGAAGGCCUGGUUGUAAG